rnacentral:rRNA from 1 species
GAGCCCCUACGGGGCGCAGCAGUGGGGAAUAUUGCACAAUGGGGGAAACCCUGAUGCAGCGACGCCGCGUGAGCGAAGAAGUAUUUCGGUAUGUAAAGCUCUAUCAGCAGGGAAGAAAAAAAUGACGGUACCUGAGUAAGAAGCACCGGCUAAAUACGUGCCAGCAGCCGCGGUAAUACGUAGGGGGCAAGCGUUAUCCGGAUUUACUGGGUGUAAAGGGAGCGUAGACGGCGAUGCAAGUCUGAAGUGAAAGGCGGGGGCCCAACCCCCGGACUGCUUUGGAAACUGUAUGGCUGGAGUGCAGG